AUGAACGCUGGCGGCGUGCCUAAUACAUGCAAGUCGAGCGAACGGACGAGAAGCUUGCUUCUCUGAUGUUAGCGGCGGACGGGUGAGUAACACGUGGAUAACCUACCUAUAAGACUGGGAUAACUUCGGGAAACCGUAGCUAAUACCGGAUAAUAUUUUGAACCGCAUGGUUCAAGAGUGAAAGACGGUCUUGCUGUCACUUAUAGAUGGAUCCGCGCUGCAUUAGCUAGUUGGUAAGGUAACGGCUUACCAAGGCAACGAUGCAUAGCCGACCUGAGAGGGUGAUCGGCCACACUGGAACUGAGACACGGUCCAGACUCCUACGGGAGGCAGCAGUAGGGAAUCUUCCGCAAUGGGCGAAAGCCUGACGGAGCAACGCCGCGUGAGUGAUGAAGGUCUUCGGAUCGUAAAACUCUGUUAUUAGGGAAGAACAUAUGUGUAAGUAACUGUGCACAUCUUGACGGUACCUAAUCAGAAAGCCACGGCUAACUACGUG
rnacentral:rRNA from 1 species